rnacentral:rRNA from 1 species
GAGUUUGAUCCUGGCUCAGGAUGAACGCUGGCGGCGUGCUUAACACAUGCAAGUCGAACGAACCUUCGGGUUAGUGGCGGACGGGUGAGUAACGCGUGGGAAUCUGCCCUCAGGAGGGGGAUAACGGCUGGAAACGGCCGCUAAUACCCCAUAUGCCGAGAGGUGAAAUGAAUUUCGCCUGAGGAUGAGCCCGCGUCUGAUUAGCUAGUUGGUGAGGUAAGAGCUCACCAAGGCAUCGAUCAGUAGCUGGUCUGAGAGGAUGAUCAGCCACACUGGGACUGAGACACGGCCCAGACUCCUACGGGAGGCAGCAGUGGGGAAUUUUCCGCAAUGGGCGAAAGCCUGACGGAGCAACGCCGCGUGAGGGAUGAAGGCCUCUGGGCUGUAAACCUCUUUUCUCAAGGAAGAAGAUCUGACGGUACUUGAGGAAUAAGCCACGGCUAAUUCCGUGCCAGCAGCCGCGGUAAUACGGGAGUGGCAAGCGUUAUCCGGAAUUAUUGGGCGUAAAGCGUCCGCAGGCGGCCCUUCAAGUCUGCUGUUAAAAAGUGGAGCUUAACUCCAUCAUGGCAGUGGAAACUGUUGGGCUUGAGUGUGGUAGGGGCAGAGGGAAUUCCCGGUGUAGCGGUGAAAUGCGUAGAUAUCGGGAAGAACACCAGUGGCGAAGGCGCUCUGCUGGGCCAUAACUGACGCUCAUGGACGAAAGCCAGGGGAGCGAAAGGGAUUAGAUACCCCUGUAGUCCUGGCCGUAAACGAUGAACACUAGGUGUCGGGGGAAUCGACCCCCUCGGUGUCGUAGCCAACGCGUUAAGUGUUCCGCCUGGGGAGUACGCACGCAAGUGUGAAACUCAAAGGAAUUGACGGGGGCCCGCACAAGCGGUGGAGUAUGUGGUUUAAUUCGAUGCAACGCGAAGAACCUUACCAGGGUUUGACAUCCUGCGAACCUCUUGGAAACGAGAGGGUGCCUUCGGGAACGCAGUGACAGGUGGUGCAUGGCUGUCGUCAGCUCGUGUCGUGAGAUGUUGGGUUAAGUCCCGCAACGAGCGCAACCCACGUCUUUAGUUGCCAGCAUUUAGUUGGGCACUCUAGAGAGACCGCCGGUGAUAAACCGGAGGAAGGUGUGGAUGACGUCAAGUCAUCAUGCCCCUUACAUCCUGGGCUACACACGUACUACAAUGCUACGGACAAAGAGCAGCAAGUUCGCGAGGACAAGCAAAUCUCAUAAACCGUGGCUCAGUUCAGAUCGUAGGCUGCAACUCGCCUACGUGAAGGAGGAAUCGCUAGUAAUCGCAGGUCAGCAUACUGCGGUGAAUACGUUCCCGGGCCUUGUACACACCGCCCGUCACACCAUGGAAGUUGGCCACGCCCGAAGCCGUUACUCCAACCCUCGGGAGGAGGACGUCGAAGGUGGGGCUGAUGACUGGGGUGAAGUCGUAACAAGGUAGCCGUA